GGUGCGNAACGCGUAUGCAAUCUGCCUNNNACAGGGGGAUAGCCCGGAGAAAUCCGGAUNAAUACCCCAUAGUAUAAUGGNGNGGCAUCACANCAUCAUUAAAGANNCAUCGGUGAGAGAUGAGCAUGCGUCCCAUCANCUANNCGGNGNGGUAACGGCACACCAAGGCUACGAUGGGUAGGGGNCCUGAGAGGGAGAUCCCCCACACUGGUACUGAGACACGGACCAGACUCCUACGGGAGGCAGCAGUGAGGAAUAUUGGUCAAUGGGCGCAAGCCUGAACCAGCCAUGCCGCGUGCAGGAUGAAGGNCCUACGGAUUGUAAACUGCUUUUAUACGGGAAGAAACCUCCGAACGUGUUCGGAAUUGACGGUACCGUAAGAAUAAGGAUCGGCUAACUCCGUGCCAGCAGCCGCGGUAAUACGGAGGAUCCAAGCGUUAUCCGGAAUCAUUAGGUUUAAAGGGUCCGUAGGCGGCCCGAUAAGUCAGUGGUGAAAUCUCACGGCUCAACCGUGAAAUGGCCAUUGAUACUGUCGGGCUUGAAUUGUUGGGAAGUAACUAGAAUAUGUAGUGUAGCGGUGAAAUGCUUANAUAUUACAUGGAAUACCGAUUGCGAAGGCAGGUUACUACCAAUUGAUUGACGCUGAUGGACGAAAGCGUGGGUAGCGAACAGGAUUAGAUACCCUGGUAGUCCACGCC
rnacentral:rRNA from 1 species